ACAACUUCAGUACAUCUCAGGUGUCAGUUGCGGAAGGACGUGAUUUUCGUUUUUGUCGUGCCCAGUCGAUACCGCCGCCGCGAGUUAGUUAAUUGUACACGACGACGACAACAACAACGGGGUCGCAAGAAACGGUCGUUUUUACUGCUGUACAUAGUGUGAGUGUGAGUGUGUUUGUGUUUUGGAGCUAGUUCCCCACCUCACCUCCUCCACCUGGGACCACCUGCCGGAUCUUCUCCACCCCCAAUUGGACUACCGUUUUGGGGUGAAGCUCUCUCUUUCCCGGAGGUACGACUAACCGACUAGUCGUAGUGUUUAGUGAACAUUUUAAAUGACUACCUUCGUCGGGAAGUGUCCACCGACCGCCGUGCUGCAUGUUUAGUUGCAGUCCGUACGCGAGUCCGCUGCGUGUGUGCGCCCAAUGAAGUCCGGUUGUUCAGUGUGACCAGUCAGCGUUAGUUAACGUUAGCAAGCAUUAGUGUGUGGAGUGGAGCGAGCAACCUGUGUGUGCAACCCGUUGUGAACAAAUCGAUCGAGCUUAACCGAGUGGAAGUGUGAUAAUCGUGUGACGAGCGUACAAUCAACCUAGAUGUUGACCAAUGCCGGUGAACGCACUGUUUUUUGUAGUUCAUUGUUUAGAGUUGUUGUUAGUAGCCGCCCGUUGUUCCGUUGUUAGUGUUCAGCCGCCCUGCCAUGGAUAAUCCCAGCUAUGGAUCGUCGCACAUGUCAUCGCCAGCGCUAGUAGUCUUCUCCCAGGCAGCGAACGGAUUAAGUGACGCGCUGCGAAUACAGAGACCGUUUCACGGACAACUUCCCGACGCCAAAGACCUGCACCAUCUUUCGCUAAUGAGUGGCUACGGAGCCCACUUGCUGCACGGCUUCCAGCCACACUUUCUGCACCACCCGCUGAACCCGGCCGUUUCGACGGCCUCCGGUACAAGCCCGUUCGGCGGUGGUGGCGCGUUCGUCAAGCCGUUCCCGUCCAAUCUGCCCCUCCAGUCAGCCUUCGCGCCGCCCAAGUGUCUCGGCUUCGGGAUCGACCAAAAUAUCUUUUCCAAGGGAUUGCUGUUUGGCGGCGGUAGCACCGGUUCCGAGUCCUUCCGGACGUCGGACUCGUCCAGUCCAGCUUGCGCCUCGUUGUCCCCACCCGCCAAGGAUGAGUCCAUGGAGGGACAGACCAGCGAAGAGGGUGACCGCGAUCGGGAUCGCGGCGUUUGCAGUCCGGAACGAAGUCCGGAAACACCUGGCUUCAGACUUACGGCACAAAAGUUCUAUGAAUGCUUGAAGAGACAAGGUAUUGGCCCCCCGAAGAAGACCUUUGUCGGCACGCCGCCGCCCAACUCGUGUCCCAUCUGCGGCAUCCAGCUAGCACCAAGUGACCUAGAGACCCACUUCUCCGCCGAGCUGUCCCGGCUCGCCAAGAUGACGUCGCCGGCGGAACGGCUCGAGCUGCGGCGAACGCUGAGCGUCGACAUGCACGCCAUGCAGAGCACCCUCCAGGGGCGGACCAGCCGGUGGGAGACGUUCAAGAAUAUCCGCAACAAGCGCCAGGAUCGCCUCCGGGGUAAGUUACGGAAGCGGAAAUUCGACGGCGAGGAGGGCUUCGGGAUGCAGCUCGGCACGAUCAACUGCCAGUCCUGUCCGGUGUGCCACGGACGGCUCCAGCGGACGCAGGAGGAAAUCGCCCAGCACAUCGAGGACUGCGUGAGGAAGCAACAGCAGCACCACCAACAUCAGCAGCAACAGCAGCAACAACAACAGCAGCAGCAGAGCAGUCAAUCUUCGACCCAGGACGAAGAUGAAACUGUGGACGUGGAGAGCUACGGCGACGAGACGUCCAACGGAGCCAUCAACAUGACCUCCAACGUGAUUCAUCACACGAACGGAAAUCUCCACAAUAAUAACAACAACAUCAACAACAACAACAAUAACACCCCCCUCAAACCCGACCCUCCAAUGACCAAAAUACCCCCGAUGGAAGAGAGCGCCAUCACAUCGCUCAGCUCGAUCGUGCCCCACUGGGACAGGAAGAGCCGGCUAAAUCUACCGUUGAAUUGCACGGCCACCUCCGACAACUCGAUCACCCGGGUGACCCCGACCAGUAGCGAUCAGCGGAUCGACGUCGACUACGAGCAGGACCACGACCACAGCCAGGAUAUGAUUACCGACAACGACGAGGAAGUCAUCGUUGACAACACGGACGACGAAGACUGCAUCAAGCGGCAGCGACCCACGUUGACCACGUUGCACCCCGGCCAACAUCUGGGGAUCGGACGUGAGGAUAAAAAUAGCACCGAAGAGGCCACCUCCUCGGUCGAAAUCGACUCCGCGACGGACUCGAUGGCGACGACGAUCCGGACGGCCGGCACCACGCCCAACUCGGACUCGUACGUCAGCACGUCGGAACAGGCGGCCCCCGCCGAGCCGGCCUCCAAAGCGCAGGUGCUAGAGGAGCUGAAGGCGCGGAUACGCGAGCUCGAGGGAUCGCCGCACUACAAAUGUUUCAUAUGAAAAGUGUAAAACGCUGAUCAUCUCGAAAAUUUGCGGUCACUAUCUCUGCGAAGAGUGCUGGAUCACCGAAUCGGACUCCUCGAAAUCAUGCCCGCGAUGCAAAAUUGUCACAGCCAAUUCUGACUUUAGGAAAAUUCA
rnacentral:misc_RNA from 1 species